rnacentral:sRNA from 1 species
GUGUACCAGACGUACACUCCGGUUCUCCGCGCCGUCCGCAUCACCUGACGACCGCUCGCUACCUGUUGUUGGCC